UUUUUUUUUUUAUUUUUUAUUUUUUUUAACUUGGGAAAUUUUUAAAGUAAAUUAAUGGUUAUUCAACACCAGGAAAAACAGAAAAAAGAAUAACUACAAUAACACAAAAAUAGACCAAAUACCUAAAUGACACUAAGGUAAUAGCUUCAUUUAAAAAUAAUUUGAAAGUAAAAUAAAUUCCUAUUUUCAAAAGAAUACACACAAAAAAAAUUAGAAAUAAGAACAUUACAACAAGUGUAGUUGAUAAUACUGAAAUCUUAUCAUACUAUAAAUCAAUCAAUUUCACAAAAACAAUUUGGAGCUGGAACAUAAAUUUCUGAAAAGAAAUUAGUCAAUAUAAUGAUAUGCCUGUCAAAGAAAAGUUGACAAGAACUCAAUAUUUUAGGCAAUUGGCAUCUUAAAUUCAUGAGACAGAUAAUUCCUACAUUAUGUAAUCUGUUUGAGAAAAAAAGGGAUAAAGUGAAAACUACCUAUUUUAUGAAGGUCAUAUCCUGAAACCUAAGUCUGACAAAUAACAUUUUAGAAAAGAGGAAGGAAGAGAAUGAGGCAGCAGAGGGAGGGAGGGAGGGAGGAAGGAAGGAAAAAAGGGAUGAGGAGGGAAGGAAGAGGUGAGGGAAGGAAGGAAGAAAGCUAUGAGUCAGUCUCAAGAGAUUUAGAGGUAAAACCAAGUGCCAUUCUGACUAAUUGAGUGCAAUAUUACAUUAAAAGAAUCUCUUAAGAGCACAUAUUAAUGUAACAGUAUCAAAAAGUCAAAAGAAAAAAGUCAUCUUGUUAACCCUGAAAUAGUUUUCAAUAAAAUAAUACCUGGUCCUAAUGAAAAGACAAACUCUUAGUCAAUGAGCAAUAGAAGUAGAUUCUUUAAAUUGCCAAAAUCAUCAUUAACUGUAAAACACUGGAAGCAGUUCCAGUAGAAAGUGGAAUUAAGAUAAGAAUGCUGAUGAAAACACUUUUUUCCAUGAUUUGGGAAUUCUACCGAAUGUAAUAAGACAGGAAACAAAAGUCUCUAUAAAAGCAUAACUAUUGAAAAGGAGAAGUUGUUAGGGUAUUAAUACCAACAUGAAUGUUGGUAUUAAAGAAUGUAAAGAAUGAACCCAAAUGAUUGGUAUUAACAAUAGAAUUCACCAGGGAUAUGUAUGUGAAUAGAAAAAUGGAUAUCCUUUCCUAUAAAGUUGGAAAAAGAGUUCAUUGGAAAUAAUAACAACAACAACAACAAAAACAGGGGGGUGGAUCUUGAAAUAAAGCUGGCAAGAAAACCACAAAUAAACAAAAACAUGUGGACAAUGGUAUAAUACACUGUGUUUCUGGAUUGGAACAUAAGAUACUGUAAACAUAACUAUUCUAUAAUUAAUUUCUAGGUUUAAAAAGAAAACAGCAUUCAAUGUCUAUGAGAUUUUCUUUAGAACUUAAGAAAAUGUUCCUAAAGACCAUUUGUAAAUUUCAGGAAAAAGGAAUAAUUAGAAAUGAGGAUUUUCUUUUUUAGAUAGUAAAAAGAAUAAUAUAAAGCUAUAAUAAUGAAAACCAUAUACCUCUUAUAAAAAUCAACCACAGAUUAAUGAAAUAGGGUAGCCCUAAAAUUGACCCUGGUAUCUAUAAAAACCUGUCACAAAAAGAUACACAGCAAAACCAUAAGAAAUAGAUGGAUAAUGCUUAAAAUUUUUCUGAGGUGGAGAGAAGAAAUAAGAUAAUCUUACUUCAGGCUGAAAACCCAAAUAUUUCCCAGAUACAUUAAUGAUUUCAUUGUAAGAAAUAAACCCAAAACAAUCAAAUGAUAUGAACUGAGUCUUCACAACCUCUGCUUGAGAAAGGAUGAAACAUAAGAAGUUAUAAAAGGACUUAGAAAGAAGAGAGGUGCUAUCUUUGGACUAGAUAAGCAUUAAAACCUUCCAGAGAUUAGAAAGCAUCUUAGAAGUUAAAAAACCAAAUGCAAACUGGAUGAAAAACUUAGAACAAAUGGAAAAGGUUAACAUGUGUAUUGCACAAUGGGCUCUUAUAAAUAAUUAGGAAAAAUAUUAACACCCCCCAAUGGAAAAAUGGGCACAAGACAUUGAUUUACUUAUAGAAGAACAAAUGCAAAUGGCAAAUAAGCAUAUAUAUGAUCACCCUAAUUUAAAUACAAAUUAAAAUAAGUUCCUGUUUUUUAUUUAUCAAAAUGACAAGGAUAAAAUAUAUUUAAUAGUGAUAAGAAUGUGCUAAUUUAAUUAUUCUCAAACACUAUUGGUAAGACUGUAGAGUCAAUGUUUUGAAAAGUGAUUUAGCAAUAUAAAAAAAAAAAAAGGAAAUAGUUUGCAUCAUUGACCCAAUAAACCCACUUAUGGGGACAUAGCCUAAGGAAACAACUGAAAAAGAAAAAUUUAUGUACUGGCAAAAAAUGAAAUGAGACAAUAAGAAAAUGAUUAAUAAGUAAUGACACAUUCAUAGAUGGAAUAUUAACAGCCCCUAAAAUUCAUUUUUCAGAGAAUAACCUUGGCAAACUGCUAGCUAAUCUAACUAUAGUAUAAAAUAUUACAGAAUUAGAAUCUGAAUACUGUAAAUAAUCAGCUUAACCUCACAUGGCAGUUCAUUAACAAGAGCAUCUAUGCAGAAAGCUCUAGAAAAGUCAAACGGACUGGUUGAGUGAGAACUAGGUGCUCACUCUCCAGUAGAAAGGACUCUCUCUCACUGAUUUUUACCUUCAGAGUCUACUUCUGUAUAAGAUUAAGAAUCUGAAUAAUGGUACUUCAUCCUGGUACAAAGCUUCCACAGUGAUGUGGGGUAAGACGAGAGUGUCAUCUCCAGAUAUGUCAUUUUUGUUGCCGGUCACUGAAAGCUUGCUUGACAUUUCCUCCAGCCAUGCUCUGUUCCAGACAGGCUCUCGUAAGGAGUAAAGGCUUUAUUAAAAAUAUUAGCAUAUUUCGUCUCACCUCGGUAGAAACCAAUCUGAGAAAAUGGCUGAACAGUCAAUAAAUUAUUUUCUAAAAUUUGACUCUUUGGGAAAAAUUAACAUAGGUUUCACUUCAGGCUAUAUACUCAGAUAUUUUUCAGAUAGAUUAAGAUCAAUAUGAUCUUGAAAAACAGCCAAAAAAAAAAAAAAAA
rnacentral:lncRNA from 1 species